GACGAACGCUGGCGGCGUGCUUAACACAUGCAAGUCGAACGGAAAGGCCCCUUUGGGGGUACUCGAGUGGCGAACGGGUGAGUAACACGUGAGUAACCUGCCCUUGACUUCGGGAUAACUUCAGGAAACUGGGGCUAAUACCGGAUAGGAAUCCUUGCUGCAUGGUGAGGGUUGGAAAGCUUCGGCGGUUUUGGAUGGACUCGCGGCUUAUCAGCUUGUUGGUGGGGUAGUGGCUUACCAAGGCUUUGACGGGUAGCCGGCCUGAGAGGGCGACCGGCCACAUUGGGACUGAGAUACGGCCCAGACUCCUACGGGAGGCAGCAGUGGGGAAUAUUGCACAAUGGGCGGAAGCCUGAUGCAGCAACGCCGCGUGCGGGAUGACGGCCUUCGGGUUGUAAACCGCUUUCAGCAGGGGCGAAGCUUGUGGUGACGGUACCUGCAGAAGAAGCACCGGCUAACUACGUG
rnacentral:rRNA from 1 species